ACACCCGGCGUGAUUGAGGGUAAGAGACAUGCUGUUGACAAGACAGAGCAGGUGGUCGGCAAGAGGUUGAGAGUGUCGUCACAGUAUGUUGUUUCCCCUUUCACGGCUGAGGUCAAGAGGAGGACGUUCAUCGAUGGGACGUACUCGAACUUAUUCAGAGAGGUGGACAAUGCCAAGUGGAAAGCGUUCGAGACAGAGUGGAGGAGAAUUAUCCCCGGGUAAGUAUUGUAUGAUUUUAAUAAAGCACUGUACACUAACUCGUCUACGCUUAUUUUAACAUUUCCC
rnacentral:lncRNA from 1 species